rnacentral:rRNA from 1 species
UUUUGCGCAAUGGGCGAAAGCCUGACGCAGCAACGCCGCGUGGAGGAAGAAGGCCUCCGGGUUGUAAACUCCUGUCCCCAGGGAAGAAGGAAGUGACGGUACCUGGGGAGGAAGCCCCGGCUAACUCCGUGCCAGCAGCCGCGGUAAUACGGGGGGGGCGAGCGUUGUUCGGAAUUACUGGGCGUAAAGGGCGCGUAGGCGGCCCGAGAAGUUCUGGGUGAAAGCCCCCGGCUCAACCGGGGAAGUGCCUGGAAAACCAUCGGGCUGGAGUGCUGGAGAGGCAAGCGGAAUUUCUGGUGUAGCGGUGAAAUGCGUAGAUAUCAGAAGGAACACCUGCGGCGAAGGCGGCUUGCUGGACAGACACUGACGCUGAGGCGCGAAAGCCAGGGGAGCAAAC